ensembl:lincRNA
GCCCAUUCCAGUAGCUUUAGGGAUGAUGUCCAUGACCCAAACUUGGAGGAGGACAAGUGAAUGUAUCUUAUAAAGGAGAAGGUGCCUUGCUGAAGUGCCCGCUCUGAAUGAAGAAGAACUGGGUUCUGCAGUCUGUCCACAGUAAGAAGACUGUAUGUGAGCACAGUCUCCAUGUUCACUGUGCCUCAUGCCAUCCCUGAUAUCAUGGAGGAAAUGAAUGGUCAUUUAAAAAUCCUCAUUGGCUAAAGAGCUGGUGGUUUAAAUGAAUGCAUCUAAUUGCAAACUGUGAAGGGCUGGUCCUAGUAUUAAGAAGAUGGAUGAUUCUGUGAAGGGAAUGUGCUAAGACUUGUUUGUUGAAAAUGGAAUUAUUAAUGGCUUGUCAGUAAAGUUAAGAAUGCCUUAAGUCAUUCCUCUCUUACUCUAUUCAUAGAAGAAAUAAAACAGAUGAAUUU